rnacentral:lncRNA from 1 species
GGAUUACACGCAUGAGCCACCACGCUUGGCCAAUAAAUGAAAAUUUUUAAAACAAGUAAAGCUUUGAGAACUCCUGCGCCUGCUCAUGGUACUCCAGCUUUACUUGGAGUACAUGUGAGAUUAAAUGUCUCAAUGUGUACUGCCUAUAAAUUGAAGCCAGCUAUAUUAGACAGGAACGUGGAACAUCACUACAUACCUGAAUAGUGUUUACUUUGUGGUAUGAAUAAACGUAUCUGUGAGAUGCUCCAAAAAAAGAAAAGAAACAGCAAGUAAUCAGGAGAGACCAAGGAAGCAGAUAUGAGGGGCAGAACUAGGGGGUGCUAUCCGAAAGGCCUCCUCCUACAACCUCCUCAUUCUCAGAUACAGUUGUGAUACCCUGAAUCCUCCCACCCCUAGGCUUCCUCUGGGUUCUAACUUAUAACCCUGGUUUGUCUGCCUUUAUCAAUAAGCAUGAAUUAUUAUCCUGGGUAAGGUGUCCACUCAUUCAUUCAAAAACACAUUGAUUACUACUGUGUGCUGGAUGUUGUUCCAGGUCAGCAGUAUAGCAGUAAAGGAAGCAUAAACCCUGACCUCUUGAAGCAUAUGUUCUAAAUGACACAUUUAGUAUGUGAUUUAAAAAAAAAAGGGGGGGGUUGGGGGGCCGGGAGUGGUGGUUCACGGCUGUAAUCUCAGCACUUUGGGAGACCGAGGCAGGUGGAUCACGAGGUCAGGAGUUCAAGACCAGCCAGGCCAACAUGGUGAAACCCCGUCUCUACUAAAAAUACAAAAAUUAGCUGGGCGUGGUGGCACACGCCUUUAGUCCCAGCUACUCGGGAGGUUGAGGCAGGAGAAUUGCUUGAACCCGGGAGGCGGAGGUUGCAGUGAGCCAAGAUCGCGCCAUUGCAUUCCAGCCUGGCGACAGAGCAAGACUCCAACUCAAAACAAACAAAUAACAACAACAACAACAAAAAGGCAUUAACAACAACAACAAAAAGGCAUUAUUAGGAAAUAGUUAAAUAAAGAUAUCAGGGAUUGGGCCAUGCACACAUCUGGGGGAACAUGAUUCCUGCAAAGGGAAUAGCAAAUGCAAUGGCUCUUGUAGGGGCAGAGGGUUGGAGAAACUGCAACAGGGCCAGUGGGGCUGAAGCACAGAGAGAGAGGAAAAAAACAAGGUAAGAGAAGAGACAGUUAACAAGGGGCCCAAGUCAUAAAGCCCAUUUGAAGAACAGUGGCUUUCGCUAUAAGUGACAAGGAAAACCACUGAAGUUUUUAGCAGAAAGCAGAUGUCAUCUGACGUACAUUUUGACAGGAUCACUCUACUUGCCACAUAGAGCCUGGCAUUUAGAAGGUGCUCAAGAAACGACCAGUUGAAAUUGCAUAAAAAUUAACCAGGCCAGGGCCGGGCGCAAAGGCUCACACCUAUAAUCCUAGUACUUUGGGAGGCUGAGGUGGGCGGAUCACGAGGUCAGGAGAUCGAGACCAUCCUGGCUAACACGGUGAAACCCGUCUCCACUAAAAAUACAAAAAAUUAGCCGGGCCUGGUGGCGGGGGCCUGUAGUCCCAGCUACUCGGGAGGCUGAGGCAAGAGAAUGGCAUGAACCCGGUAGGUG